AGGGUUCGAUUCUGGCUCAGGAUGAACGCUGGCGGCGUGCCUAAUACAUGCAAGUGAAACGGGUAUCUUCGGAUACCAGUCGCGGACGGGUGAGUAAUACAUAGGCAACCUGCCUUUAUGAGGGGGAUAACCGAGGGAAACUUUGGCUAAUACCGCAUGAAGACUCUAAGGCAUCUUAGAGGGAUAAAAGUUGGGAAACAACGCAUGAAGAUGGGCUUAUGGCGCAUUAGCUAGUUGGUGAGAUAGAAGCCCACCAAGGUAAUGAUGCGUAGCCGACCUGAGAGGGUGAACGGCCACAUUGGGACUGAGACACGGCCCAAACUCCUACGGGAGGCAGCAGUAGGGAAUUUUCGGCAAUGGGGGGAACCCUGACCGAGCAACGCCGCGUGAAGGAAGAAGGUUUUCGGAUUGUAAACUUCUGUUAUAAGGGAAGAACGGAUUGGAUAGGGAAUGAUCUGAUAGUGACGGUACCUUAUUAGAAAGCCACGGCUAACUACGUGCCAGCCGCGGC
rnacentral:rRNA from 1 species